CGGGACGUACUCGCUACAAAGUUGUACGUUUGCCACCUGCUCGGGCCAUAAGGCCCCAAAUAUCUGGGCUAAACUAUAUAGUCGGGCUCCUCCUCCUAGAGUCUGUAAUUGUGCCAUAAGCCCAGAUCACUCAGCUAUAAAUUUAAACAGUGGGCUUGAAGCUUUUAGAUUCUGUGAAACCCUAGGGACCGGACUUGCAGCUAUAAGAAACUGAAUUGCCAUUUGCUUCUCCCAUCUUCUGUUUCCAGCCGCCACCAUAGACAGUAGACACUGCAACAAAACCCUAGGGUUUAGAUAUUGUUCUUGAUUCCUUGCCGUUAUUGUUGUAUUAAUUGUAUAUAAGCAUAUAUGGGUUAUGAUUAUAAAGAGAGAGGGCUUAAGUGGGAUCUUCAACAAAACCCAUUUGGAUUUGGAGGUUAAAAAUGAUGGAAAGAAAGGCAGGCACAAAAGAAGAAGAAGCCGCCACUCAGAGAAAAAAUUUGUGUUUGGAAAAUGGUGAGGUAAUUAGGCAGCGGCCAGACAACCGUAGGGAUGGUAUCCACAGAUGGCGGGUAUUUUAUCCCGCUUUGUCUACUGAUUCCAUCUCACAUUUCUUACAUUGGAUGAUUUAAAUAUUUUUACAAUUAUUAUUUGUUGGGAGCCCAUGAAUCGGUGGAAGUUCAUAUAUCAAUUAAAUUCAUGAAAAAAGUGGAUGAAAUACCAGUUUUGUUUAUAGGGUUUGUCGGUUUUUUAGGGUGUAAUAGUGUUUUGCAUCACAUUUACUAGGAUCUAUGAUAAAACAAAAGUUAAUUUAUCUCUCUAAAGCUAUUUUUUGCUUCUAUUUGACCAUUUCAAUCUUGAUGGUAUACCAUAUGCGCACUGAAUUCAGUGCGUAGAAUGGGUGUCCUGGCUUCUAUGGAAAUAGGAUGACCGACACAACUUGAUUUUGGAAGUCCUUUAGUGUGCUGAAUUUCAUGCAUAUAGAAUUACUCGCAUCAAACAAAUGAUCAAGUCAUUGACCUUUUUUCUCGAAGUGCCCUUCUAGAUAAUUUCUCUCAGUGCAUUGAGAGAAUUUGGUGAGAAAGUUAAAGAGAAGCUAUUUGUGCUCUAGUAUAUUUUACUAAUUUUGAUUAGUUACCGCAUGCCCUAGCUUUUUUGUGAAAAAAUUGAUGUUGUUUUCUGUUUCUUUCUGCUGCUCCUUUGUGUCAUGCAGCGCAUGGUGCGUUGUGCAAUAUCUUGUAUUAAGUGUUAAUUAUGCCCAUUUUCCAUGGAAUUGAAUCAAUGUGUUUGCACACCUGCCUCGUCCUAUCUCCAGUUUUACUCGAAUACAAUCUAUGCUUGAAGUUAUGCUGAAAGAAAGAUCACCACAAGUGAUGCAUUUCCUGUUUUUGUUAACAUUUUUUUUGGCAUGCGAUGCUUUUUGUCAAAUAUAACAAGAUUUAAUUUUGAAUGUGAUCUAUUGAUGCAAUUCGUGUACUAAAAUUACAUCUAAUGCAAGAUUGCCUGUCUCGCCCCAAAAUUAGCUACAUGAAUAUAGUAGAAAACUUUUUCCUCAAUUGGGACAUUGGUCUUUGUGACCAUAGAUUUCAUUGCAUGCAUGGUUUUGACUUUUGAGCCUCUGAACCAUUAUGUUUCUUUUUCCGUGCACCAUUUGGUUAAUAAAUUCUUGAUGAUUGGUGAAAACUAGAGUUACACUUGAGAAAACUUGAGAUCGCUUUCCUCCUGGUGUAUCAUGAAAGGAUUAAUAAUUUGAGGCUUGGGACAGUGAUGUGAACACUAGAAUAAACUUUGAUCAAGAGUGUAAAUGUCUGGAGGCGUUGCUUGCCAGCGACUGGAUGUUUAUUUGGGAUGUAAAGGAAGUAGCUGUUACAUGAAAAUUCACGGAAAAAAAAUGCUUCAGAGCUUCAUGAAUGCCCUUACCCGCACGUGUAUGACUUUUCUGUACAAGAGGAAACUGCUAGCCUGUAAGAUCUCAGCAGGUUCAUUGAAACGUCCUUGUUGUAAACUAUGGCUUGUCAUUUGUGUUUAUUUUUUAAGAAGAAAAAAUAUUAUUUUAAUAUAUUUUUAAGUAAAAAUUACCGUAAAAUUAUAUAUUCUCAAACACCUUGCCUGCAAAGCUACUCUUUUCUUAAGUCUUACUUUGUAAUCCUGAGGCAUAGCUUGUCAAUAACAAUAAUCUCAAAUUUUAUGAUUUUA